CUACGGGCGGCUGCAGUGGGGAAUAUUGCACAAUGGGCGCAAGCCUGAUGCAGCCAUGCCGCAUGUAUGAAGAAGGCCUUCGGGUUGUGAAGUACUUUCAGCGGGGAGGAAGGGAGUAAAGUUAAUACCUUUGCUCAUUGAUGUUACCCGCAGAAGAAGCACCGGCUAACUCCGUGCCAGCAGCCGCGGUAAUACGGAGGGUGCAAGCGUUAAUCGGAAUUACUGGGCGUAAAGCGCACGCAGGCGGUUUGUUAAGUCAGAUGUGAAAUCCCCGGGCUCAACCUGGGAACUGCAUCUGAUACUGGCAAGCUUGAGUCUCGUAGAGGGGGGUAGAAUUCCAGGUGUAGCGGUGAAAUGCGUAGAGAUCUGGAGGAAUACCGGUGGCGAAGGCGGCCCCCUGGACGAAGACUGACGCUCAGGUGCGAAAGCGUGGGGAGCAAACAGGAUUAGAUACCCUCGUAGUC
rnacentral:rRNA from 1 species